AGUUCCCUACGGGACGCAGCAGUAGGGAAUUUUCGUCAAUGGGCGCAAGCCUGAACGAGCAAUGCCGCGUGAACGAGGAAGGUCUUCGGAUCGUAAAGUUCUGUUGAAGGGGAAAAAGAGCGGAGAGAGGAAAUGGUCUCCGAUUGAUAUUACCCUUCGAGGAAGUCACGGCUAACUACGUGCCAGCAGCCGCGGUAAUACGUAGGGGGCAAGCGUUAUCCGGAUUCACUGGGCGUAAAGGGAGCGCAGGCGGCGCGGCAAGUCUGAUGUGAAAGCCCGGGGCUCAACCCCGGGUCU
rnacentral:rRNA from 1 species